GAGCGGCUUGUACUCCCCGAGGCUUCAACAGAGGGUCUGGAGCUGGGAGCUGCAGGUGGCCAGGAGGCGUUCAGUCCUACAGGAACAGACGGAGGUGACGGAGGCGGUCGUCCUGGUGGUGCUCGUCUGGAGGUCCGUGGCGGUCCUCUGGAGGUGCUCGUCUGGAGGUCCGUGGCGGUCGUCUGGAGGUGCUCGCCGUGAGGUCCGUGGCGGUCGUCUGGAGGCGCUCGCCGUGAGGUCCGUGGCGGUCGUCUGGAGGUGCUCGCCGUGAGGUCCGUGGCGGUCGUCUGGAGGCGCUCGCUGCAGAUGGAGGGAAGGCCGGGAGCUGUGCAGCCCAACGGAUGCAGAACGGUGAGACGCGGAACUGCACAGCUGCACAUUUCUUUCUAGGCUUGGUGAAUUGUUUAGAAUUAAACCUUUGACAUGCAGCCACAGCAGCUUUGAAGUGUUCUGAAAAAUGUCCGCUGCAUUCUCAGCCACUAGGACCAGCUCCAGGAUGUAGGCUAGGUGUGUGUGGCUGGCUGUUGGGUUAAAUAAUGCCUCACUCAAGGCUGCACAGUAGGGCAUCAGGGAGAUCUGUGGGAGCUAAAGCAGAGGAGUUGAUGAUCUGCAUCAUGUACGGGGAGAAAUGUGCAGUGUGCAACUGGAACGUGUCAUUCGCCUUUCAGAAGGACUGAGGCGGAGGCCAGCCUGGAGGCGGAGGCCAGCCUGGAGGCGGCGGUGGCCUGGAGGUCCUGGAGGCGUCCAACCUGGAAGGGGCGGCAUGGAGGGCCAGAAGGGCCUGGAGGCGGCCAACCUGGAAGGCCUGGAGACGGCAGAGGUCCUGGAGGCAACGGCGGGCCUGGAGGCGGAGGCCAACCUGGAGGUCCUGGAGGCGGUGGCAGCGGCCAUCCUGGAGGAGGACAACCUGGAGGUCCUGGAGAGCCUCGAGGCGCCGGCGGCAGCCAUCCUGGAGGCGACGGCGGAGACCAACCUGGAGGGCCUGGAAAGGUGGUACGGACCAACCUGGAGGUCCUGGCGGUGGCGUCCACCUGGCGGCGGCGGCGGCGUCCUGGAGGGCCCGGCGGUGGCGGCGUCCUGGAGGGCCCCGGCGGCGGCGGUGGCGGCGUCCUGGAGGGCCCCGGCGGCGGCGGUGGCGGCGUCCUGGAGGGCCCCGGCGGCGGCGGCGUCCUGGAGGGCCCCGGUGGCGUCCUGGAGGGCCCCGGCGGCGUCCUGGAGGGCCCGGCGGCGGCGGCGUCCUGGAGGGCCCGGCGGCGGCGGCUCCUCAUCCAAAAUGAGGCGACGUUUCGGAGGUCCAGGCGGUCGGCCCGGUGGAGGUCCUGGAGGAGACGGUCCCGGCGGUGGAGGUCCAGGUGGGUGGCCCGGUGGAGGUCCUGGAGGAGACGGUCUCGGCGGUGGAGGACGGCUGGGGGAUCCGGCGGUGGAGGUCCGAAGGCGGCUCGUGAUUAGACCAACCAGCUCCUCAUCCAUGGAAGGAUUGAAGGAGUCACUGGGGAUGAAGAUCACUGGGGAUGAAGAUCACUGCUCAGGGGCUGACGACCACCCCCCCCCCCCCCCCCCCCCCUCAUCUUUCCGGAGAAGGUAUAUAAAUCUACAGCUGAUGUGAUUAAAGUUCUGCAGUUCAGAUCUGCUGAUAAAGGGUCCCAUACCGUAUCCACAGCGUCCUCAAGGUGCAGGCGGUCAAACCACCACAUCUUUGAAGAGACCAAGCAGCUUGAUGACUGACUGGUUCCUUAUACUCCGGAGCAGAGGACGGACCAAAGGCCCGCAGCGCAGCAGACUAGAGACUCUGUGGAACCGGUAAGAUGCUGGAUUGACUAUCUUGAAGACAUUUUCAUUUAUUCAACGGUUAGUUUUGUUUGGCGGGUAUGUUGCUUUGAUACUAGGGGCUUCCUCUGUAACAAACUUUCUAGAGAAUAAGAUCUUAUUUCAGCCAAUCAGUGGGAUGUCCAUGAACAAGAGCCAAUGGCUGAAGGUGCUCAAACGCAUUCUUUUGACUCGCUCCUCUACUAUUGCUGUAAUCAAGCUGGAUGGCUAUUUUGCUCCUUCUACUGACAAAAUCAAGUCUGCCACCUGGUGGCCGAUGAGGGCGUAGCUACUCUGGGCACAUUGGAAACAUGAUAAGAGCCUGUUUUUGAUGGUUGGAUCGUACACCUAAAUGUUUUUACAUCAAAAUAUCGCCGAACCCCAUGUUGGACAAUGCUUGUUUCAUCCUUUCUAUGUUUAGCUUUGAUUUAUCCUUACCUUUUCAUGUGACCAUUCCCCUUAGGUUCAAUAAAGUUGACCUCUCCUUCAGGCGACUUGAAGGGAGACCAGAUGUGCGGCAGCUGGGUGUCGCGGUGCAGAGACCCAACGCUGGUAAAUAUUUACUUCCUCCUUGAACAGACCUAACGCGUCCAACGGCAAUUCUAUAAUCCCUCCUGAUCUUUAUCAAGGUCUGAAGACCAGUCUUUUCUGUGAACAUCUCCACUGACUAGUGUGCUCUUAAUUAAUUUGAAGUUAAUUAAAUGCAGUAACUCCAAUGCACCUGGAGGCUCGUAUUGUCUUUUUUUGAAACCUGGUUCACUAGGACUGUUGCGGUAAAUAAAUGCUUGUUUUUUCGCUAAUUUAAGUCUAUGGAAUCAAAUGCUGAUUGAGACCAGAUGGGGCUGUUCCUGUAUUUAUAGACAUUUGAUUGCCCUAGAAACUGAUUCUACUUUUUGCAUCAAUUUACUUCACAGCACUGAACUACACCAGUGUGUCCUACGCCCCCAUAAACCCUGAGGAUCCCUGGCUACACCAGCACAUUAAUCCACACCCAACAUUAACACGCAGUGCACACUCUAUAGAGUUUGUAAGUCCGCCCCUUGCGGCGGGACCUCGUGAGAUCGUAAGAUAUGACUGGGUUUCAAUGGAGAGAAAGUCAUUAUUUUCUCCAUUAUGUUGCACCACAUUUUGGGGGAAGAAUGUUUGAAUCAAUCUUUGUCAUUUAUUUCCGUACUCCAUAUCUGUAAUCCCAGCUGUUGUAUUUUAACACGGUAGCUGGGAAUCCUCUUUAUAGGGAGCGACUAGAGGGACGAGGCUGGAAGCAAACCUGAGCCUGGCUCUUAACCUUCUUUCUAAACCUAAUGCCGCAAUUUAACCGCAAAUAAAGUGAGGCCUAAAGUAACUUGACUCUCUUACCUAAACUUGCUUGCCUAAACUCGCUUGUCUAAACUCGCUUGCAUAAAAUCUGAACUUGCUUGGCUAAACUCGCGUCACUUGCCUAAUACCUGAACUCGCUUGCCUAAACUCGCUUGCCUAAACUCGCUUGCCUAAACUCGCUUGCCUAAACUCGCUUGCCUAAUACCUGAACUCUCUUGCCUGAACUCUCUUGCCUGAACUCUCUUGCCUGAACUCUCUUGCCUGAACUCUCUUGCCUGAACUCUCUUGCCUGAACUCUCUUGCCUGAACUCUCUUGCCUGAACUCUCUUGCCUGAACUCUCUUGCCUGAACUCGCUUGCCUGAACUCGCUUGCCUGAACUCGCUUGCCUAAACUCGCUUGCCUAAACUCGCUUGCCUAAACUCGCUUGCCUAAACUCGCUUGCCUAAAACCUAACUUGCUCAGCUUGACUCGCUUGCAUAAUAACUGAACUCGCUUGCAUAAAACUUGCUUAGCUUGACUCGCUUGCCUGUACUUGCUUGGCUAAACUCGCUUGCCUAAUACCUGAAGUCGCUUGCCUGAAGUCGCAUGCCUAAUACCUGAAGUCGCUUGCCUAAAACCUAAACUUGCUUGUCCAAACAUGUUACACAAAGUUAACCAUCCAUAAUCUUUAACCCAAACCAGACUUGUCCCUGGGUCGCUCCACUAUAAUUUAGAAGUUUCUUCUUUUACCUCAUCUGCGUUUUGAGUUUCAUUCUUUGAGGGCUUGAAGUGCUUUGGAGGAUAUUUGAACCUUUGUUUGCCGCAUUUGUUCGCCAAAUGUUCAGUGUCCUUUGACGUAAUGUCUAUGGUCUGACGAUAAUCUGACCUCUUCAUGAAGCAGAAUGUGUGUGAAUGUUGUCCCGUGAGCUCCAGGCUCUCAGGAAUACUCCCUGAGUAUUUCAGACCUGUGGUGUUUCACAUGAGACCUUAAUGGGAACUUUUCUUUUUCUGCCUGCAUACGUAAUGCCUACAUUAGUAGGGUGAUCACUGUUGAUCCCAAUAUUGAUCAUUAACCACCUCAUUCUUUUAUGAUUUCUUUCGAUAAGGAUUACAAAUCAUGUAAUUUAUGAGCAUAUUUGCAAAUGGCUCCAAAUAUCAGAUUCUGUAAAAACUAAUGAAAUGUAACCUGCUAGAAAAUAAAACAUCCAAAUAUUAUAAACCUGUUUUGUGUUGCUCUCUUACCAUGUGGAAAUGAAACGCAGAUAGAUAUGUUUAGCUCUGAUUUGCUGCCUCCUUUUGGUGUGGUGCUGGGAUUUGUUUAAUAUAUUAUCAUUUCCAGGAUAAGUUAAUAACCUAGCAUAGCCUACCCGGAAAAGAAGGG
ensembl:lncRNA